rnacentral:rRNA from 1 species
CCCAGUCACGACGCAUAUCAAUAAGCGGAGGAAAAGAAACCAACAGGGAUUGCCCUAGUAACGGCGAGUGAAGCGGCAACAGCUCAAAUUUGAAAUCUGGCUUCGGCCCGAGUUGUAAUUUGCAGAGGAAGCUUUAGGCGCGGCACCUUCUGAGUCCCCUGGAACGGGGCGCCAUAGAGGGUGAGAGCCCCGUAUAGUUGGAUGCCUAGCCUGUGUAAAGCUCCUUCGACGAGUCGAGUAGUUUGGGAAUGCUGCUCAAAAUGGGAGGUAAAUUUCUUCUAAAGCUAAAUACCGGCCAGAGACCGAUAGCGCACAAGUAGAGUGAUCGAAAGAUGAAAAGCACUUUGAAAAGAGGGUUAAAUAGCACGUGAAAUUGUUGAAAGGGAAGCGCUUGUGACCAGACUUGCGCCGGGCGGAUCAUCCGGUGUUCUCACCGGUGCACUCCGCCCGGCUCAGGCCAGCAUCGGUUCUCGCGGGGGGAUAAAGGUCCUGGGAACGUAGCUCCUCCGGGAGUGUUAUAGCCCGGGGCGUAAUGCCCUCGCGGGGACCGAGGUUCGCGCAUCUGCAAGGAUGCUGGCGUAAUGGUCAUCAGCG